UACUGUGCCAGUAGGCAGAAAUCAACCACACAAUAUUGCUGAGGACAAAGGCACCAAUAGGAAGCCUCAGCGGGGAGCAACACUUCCCCCAGAAACAGUUCCAGGAGGUGCCAGGCGCCAGCCAGGGCUGCAGUUAAUCAUUCACCCCACAGCACAGGAAGUGAGGCCUACGCCAGUCCCAGCCCCAGCCCCACAGCACAGGAAGUAAAGCCUACGCCAGUCCCAGCCUCAGGACUUCCUGAGCUCCGGACAGGUCCCCUCAGUCCACACAUCAUCCAGAUGGGACAGCCCAGUCCAGACCAGCCACAGUGGCUUCUUUGAGUCCGGGUGCACCUCUGGUCACCUGGCAGCCUCUUCAGCUCAGCCCCUCACAAAGUGUAGGCCUGAAGGACCACCCUGAAUUGCCCUUGUAGGACCCAGGACGGCUACCCAGCAGAAUCAGAUUCUCAUGGACCAACUAGUAAUCAAGAAGACAAUCUGGAAUGAUGAGUUCUGGCAGAACCCCUGGGACCAGGGGGGCCUGGCAGUGAUUAUCUUAUUCAUCGCCGCUGUCCUGCUUCUCAUCUUAUUUGCCAUCAUGUUUGAUUUACUCACUUCCACAAAAAACACCCAGUGUGAAAAGCGUGAAGAGGAGUGACCUGACUUCCUAGGGGCUGAGAUGGCAGCAGGGGGAGGCGAGCUGACCUCCCCCUAUUCUGGUAGUGGGUCCCUCUGUGAUUGCCUCUGGCUCAGGGGCCAAGCCCUGGUGUCUUCUUUUCCCACCAGGAAAGAAUCUAGGAAAAUGCUGCAUCUGGCUUAGGGUUACUCAGACUAACAAGAUGGGGAGGCUGGUCUAAGACCAAUUCUGGGUUCCUGACCCUAUUGUUUUUAGGGAACCCUAAAAGCACAUGGAGAGGACAGCUCCACUGGCUCUGGUGGAAGGAGCAAUGGCUAACAAGGUUCUCUAACAGGCUCACAGGCCCAGCCAGCAAUUUCACAAAUCCUUGACAGAAAAAGACAACCAAAUGAAGAAAAAAUUCCUUUUCAAAUCUGCUAAGUUGUGAGAGCUCAUUUUUAAUCUAGAUAUAGCCACCAGGGCAAGCUUCCCGAACAAAGCCUCACCCGGGCCUGCAGGUCCCUAUGCGGUCUGGCCCGCCUGUCUCCAGCCAUCUCACUCACUCAUCCCAUCCCACCCUGCCCCUGGGUUCUCAGCAUGUCUUUCAGUUCUGGAAUAUGCCGUGUUCUCUCCCACCACAGGGUCUUUGCACAUGCUAUUCUCAUUGACUGGGAUGCUCUUACUCCAUGGCUUAGUUAGUCCUUCCUCAUCCUUCAUAUCUCAGUUUGAACCUGACUCCCUCAGAUUUCAGUAUGUCAUUAAUUUAGCCCUAACAGUCCUAACACAAUGAACAGUUCAUUUUGAUAGCAGCCAGCGAUGCCAGCUUCCACUGUGAUUUUUGGAACCUUCCUUCCUGGAGUCUUCUGCCCCCUAGUGCAAUCUGGACCCGUUUUCCGUAGGCCUGGGACACAGCUACCUUUCAGGACUACCCUCCAAUAUUGUCCUGCGCCAAGACUUACUCCUGG